UGGACAUUUAUAUUGUCAGUUUCUUCUCAAGGUGAAGAUAACUUUUUUAUAAAUGUCCUAGAGAAAUAUAGUAGCUUUCUGUUCAUCCUUUGCAAGAAGAAAGGGUGGAUCGUUCCACUACUGACAUUU
ensembl:scaRNA small Cajal body-specific RNA 24